GACGAACGCUGGCGGCGUGCCUAAUACAUGCAAGUUGAGCGAUGAAGAUUGGUGCUUGCACCAAUUUGAAGAGCAGCGAACGGGUGAGUAACGCGUGGGGAAUCUGCCUUUGAGCGGGGGACAACAUUUGGAAACGAAUGCUAAUACCGCAUAACAACUUUAAACAUAAGUUUUAAGUUUGAAAGAUGCAAUUGCAUCACUCAAAGAUGAUCCCGCGUUGUAUUAGCUAGUUGGUGAGGUAAAGGCUCACCAAGGCGAUGAUACACAGCCGACCUGAGAGGGUGAUCGGCCACAUUGGGACUGAGACACGGCCCAAACUCCUACGGGAGGCAGCAGUAGGGAAUCUUCGGCAAUGGACGAAAGUCUGACCGAGCAACGCCGCGUGAGUGAAGAAGGUUUUCGGAUCGUAAAACUCUGUUGGUAGAGAAGAACGUUGGUGAGAGUGGAAAGCUCAUCAAGUGACGGUAACUACCCAGAAAGGGACGGCUAACUACGUG
rnacentral:rRNA from 1 species